UACGUAGGGGGCGAGCGUUAUCCGGAAUUACUGGGUGUAAAGGGAGCGUAGGCGGCGAAGUAAGCCUGAAGUGGAAGCCCGCGGCCCAACCGCGGAACUGCUUUGGGAACUGCUUAGCUGGAGUAUGGGAGGGGUAAGCGGAAUUCCUGGUGUAGCGGUGAAAUGCGUAGGUAUCAGGAGGAACACCGGUGGCGAAGGCGGCUUACUGGACCAUGACUGACGUUGAGGCUCGAAAGCGUGGGGAGCGAACAGG
rnacentral:rRNA from 1 species